UGAAACUCAGCAAACCAGCGAUAAAUUG
rnacentral:piRNA from 1 species